UGGGGAAUUUUGGACAAUGGGGGCAACCCUGAUCCAGCAAUGCCGCGUGUGUGAAGAAGGCCUUCGGGUUGUAAAGCACUUUUGUCCGGAAAGAAAACGCCGUGGUUAAUACCCGUGGCGGAUGACGGUACCGGAAGAAUAAGCACCGGCUAACUACGUGCCAGCAGCCGCGGUAAUACGUAGGGUGCAAGCGUUAAUCGGAAUUACUGGGCGUAAAGCGUGCGCAGGCGGUCCGCUAAGACAGAUGUGAAAUCCCCGGGCUUAACCUGGGAACUGCAUUUGUGACUGGCGGGCUAGAGUAUGGCAGAGGGGGGUAGAAUUCCACGUGUAGCAGUGAAAUGCGUAGAGAUGUGGAGGAAUACCGAUGGCGAAGGCAGCCCCCUGGGCCAAUACUGACGCUCAUGCACGAAAGCGUGGGGAGCAAACAGGAUUAGAUACCCUGGUAGUCCACGCCCUAAACGAUGUCAACUAGUUGUCGGGUCUUCAUUGACUUGGUAACGUAGCUAACGCGUGAAGUUGACGCCUGGGGAGUACGGUCGCAAGAUUAAAACU
rnacentral:rRNA from 1 species